UGCCAGAACCAUAUGCUUGUCCCGAAGCUUAAGCCAUGCAUGUGCCGGAAUAAUGAAGCAAAGAACGCAUCUCAGAAUCUGCGAACGGCUCCGUAUAUCUGUUAACACCCACCGCCCAACACCGAGGGUAUGCUGGAUACCCACGGUAAUUCUGUGGCUAAUACGUGUGAACCACCUAGGGCCCGCUAGGCGCAAGCCGAGUGGGUGAUGGACCUAGGUGAAGCCGCUCAACCAACGGCGGGGCCCCCCGGGGCCCUGUUGGCGGGAGUGCCGGCUAUCCGCACCUGGACCGCAGGGCUUGGAAAGGUAAGUAUUUUGGUUCCUGCGGCCGGUGCGAUGGGCGCCAGACCUAUCAACUAGAUGCCCAGAGAACGCCUGGGCAGGGUGAUAACGGGUACAGAGGAUCAGGGUUCGAUCCUGGAGAGGAAGCCUUAGAGAUCGCUUCUACUUCUAAGGAAGGCAGCAGGCGCGCAACGUUCCCAAUGGGGAUCCCCUGAGGACGUGAGGGGACAUACCGAUGCCCGGCCUUAAAGCCGGGCAAUUGGAAUGGGGGUCCGCCAAACCCCGCACCGAGUAACAAUUGGAGGACAAGUCUGGUGCCAGCACCCGCGGUAAUUCCAGCUCCAAUAGCAUCUUAUUAAGUUGUUGCAGUUAAAACGCUCGUAGCUACACUUGGCGCGCCCGCCGUCCCUCUAGUACUGCGGGCUCUCCUGGAGCCCCCUGCCCCACAGGGGGCAGGGCUGCCUCUGGGCCCCGUGGGACCGUUGGACGGCAGCGCGCUAAACAUGUGGGGGACCAGGGCGUGCCCGGCGCUUCAGUGUGCCGGCCGCCCCCCCCGCUCUUUACUUUGAACAAAUGUAGGUGCUCCAGGCAGGCCGAUCUAAGGUACGGCCCCUGAAACUCGCAGCAAAGAAUAAUGAAACAGGCACCCGGCCUCGGCCGCUGGUAAGGCCCGGUGAAUGAUCUCCUGGGGCGAUCGGGGUGGGCCACAUGGCGGGGGUAGGGGUGAAAUCCGUUGAUCCUCGCCAGGUGAACUAGCGCGAAAGCAGCCCACAAGUACGCCCCCUCAGGUCAAGAACGAAAGUCUGGGGAUCGAAGAUGAUCAGAUACCAUCGUAGUCCAGACCCUAAACGAUGCCGACCAUGGAUGGGCCCUCGUCCAUCCCGACCCGACCCGGACCUUGAGGGAAACCACGAGUGUCUGGGCUCCGGGGGGAGUAUGGUCGCAAGACUGAAACUUAAAGGAAUUGACGGAAGAGCACACAAGGAGUGGAGCCUGCGGCUUAAUUUGACUCAACACGGGGAAACUCACUAGGGCCAGAGGGGGUCAGGACGGACGGCCAAGCAGGGCCUUCUCGAUUCCCCCAGUGGUGGUGCAUGGUCGUUCUUAGUUCGUGGACUGAUUUGUCUGGUCUAUUCCGCUAACGAGCGAGAACCCGCCUUCCGUGGUUAGGCAGCGAGGCACGCCUGGGCCCAGCCCGCCCCCGCAAGUGGGAGGGCAGGGCUCGGGCUGAGAACGCCUCGAGGCUCGGUCCGGGAGGAGCGCGUCCGACAAGGGCGCGGCAGCGGGUCAAUAACAGGUCAGUGAUGCCCUUAGAUGCUCUAGGCUGCACGCGCGCUACAAUGCGGUGGCCUCCGGGUCCCUGUGCCUUGAGGCAACGGGGAAUCCGGAACGCGCCCCGUAUCAGGGCCAGUGCCGUGCAACACGGCCCUCAAACAAGGAAUUUCUAGUAGUCAUGGGUCACCAGCCCGUGACGAUUCGGUCCCUGCUCUUUGUACACACCGCCCGUCGCUCCUACCGAUUGGGCUACGGGGUGAGUUGCCCGGAGACCGCGCACCCCGCACGGGGUGCUGCCCACUUGAUGGGCAGCGGGCGAAGGGAGGCGAACCUCGCGGCCUAGAGGAAGGAGAAGUCGUAACAAGGUAUCCGUAGGUGAACCUG
rnacentral:rRNA from 1 species